ncrna:unclassified sequences DTF805b RNA
UAGGCGGCAUCCGAAAAGCCCUUAACAGAGUAGGAA